UACGAAGGGGGCUAGCGUUGUUCGGAUUUACUGGGCGUAAAGCGCGCGCAGGCGGUCCUUCAAGUCAGGGGUGAAAGCCCAGAGCUCAACUCUGGAACUGCCUUUGAGACUGUAGGACUUGGGUAUGGGAGAGGUGAGUGGAAUUCCGAGUGUAGAGGUGAAAUUCGUAGAUAUUCGGAAGAACACCAGUGGUGAAGGCGGCUCACUGGCCCAUUACCGACGCUCAGGCGCGAUAGCGUGGGGAGCAAACAGG
rnacentral:rRNA from 1 species